CAGCCGACGGGCCCAGCGCCGUCGGGUCUCAUGAAGUCUGGCGGGGGGAGACAGGUUUUGCCUGCAGACCAGUUGGGUUUGCUCCGGGUUCGGCUGCUCUGCGGGUUCGGCCUGAGCUGGCUUGCAGGAUCAGAUGUUUCCGUGAGGUUUCAGGUCACCAAGGCCAGACAGUAGCGUCCUUCCUGCUGUGGCCUGACCCUGCAGCACUGCGAUUUGCGGCUCGGCGUCUGGCCCAUAAUGAAAAUAGGGAGAACAAUGGAACGAAGGGGGUAACUGGGUUUUCAGGAAGUAAAACCCGGUUGAGAUUGACAGACAAAUGCCAUGCGGGGCCCAUCCCCCCGAGGCUCCUUCCAUUUGGUGGGGCCGCAUCUGGCACUUCUGACAUCACCGUCACCUCCAUGGCAAUGCCUUGUGAUGUCACUUGCUCUGGAUUAUGACAUCAGCAAGAAGGUAGAUGUGCCAACCCCCCUCCUCCCCUGGGAGCAUCUUCCAAGCCAGCUGGUGGCAGGUACCAAGCGUAGGAACAGCUUCGCUGAUUGGCUGAAACUCGGACCUGGAGCGAGACCAGCCGCUCAUUUCGCAUAGGCCGCUGAACAGCCGGCGGAUGGUAACGUGCUUCGGUCGCUACCGACCCAGGCUGCAUUCCAAGCAGUGACCUCGAGCCUUCCAGCACCGUGCAUGGCCGUGGGGCAUGUGGCCUCAUGGAGCUGGUUCAACUUACCCAGUGGUGAAAUUCACAAGCCAGCUCGGCUCGGGCACAGCUGUCUCCUCUGCCCUGCUCCAGCAUCCGGCCGAGCUCCAGCCAGGAGGGGUGUCUCUUGGGUGCCACUGCGCCCUCUGCAGAUGCUGGUUUGGUUCAAACGCUGGACCAAACCCUCCCCCCACAGGUUUGCAGAAUAGCCUCCGAGCCCCCCGCUCUGGGGCGAAGACGCAGGGAACUGGGCCGCUGCUCUCUGAGAUGGGAGCCAAGCAACCGGAAGCCCAGGCCAGAGUGGAAGAGUCUUUCUGGACACCCAACGGGCUGGCUGGAGAUGGCAUGUUACCCCGGCCCCACUUCCGAGAGGCCUCCCCUUGGCAGCCCCUGAGGGCCAGGAGAGCUGGAGCCGUGGAGUGCAAGAGGAGAACUUUCCCCACUCGCCCCAGCGCCGGCCCAAGGCCAAGAAUCCGAUGUUCACUGGUCCCCCUGUCCGGCUAGAACAAGGGUGGCCAACCCAUUAAACGAAGAGAGCCGAAACGGCGGCGGAAAAAAUGCAAAGAGCCGCCCCAGAAUUGUUGAGCAAAAAAAGAAAAAGAGGACGCUGCCCCUUUAAAAACCACUGGCAGGUUUUAGGCCACGUCGGACGCCUGUCGGCCGCCACCAUCUUGAGGA